rnacentral:rRNA from 1 species
UGAGUAACGCGUAUCCAACUUCCCUAUAGUAGGGGAUAGCCCGUAGAAAUGCGGAUUAAUACCCUAUGUUGAUUUUGAGGACAUCUGACGAAUACCAAAGGUUCACCGCUAUAGGAUGGGGGAUGCGUCUGAUUAGGUAGUCGGCGGGGUAACGGCCACCGAGCCAACGAUCAGUAGGGGUCUGAGAGGAAGGUCCCCCACAUUGGAACUGAGACACGGUCCAAACUCCUACGGGAGGCAGCAGUGAGGAAUAUUGGUCAAUGGGCGAGAGCCUGAACCAGCCAAGUAGCGUGCCAGGAUGACGGCCCUAUGGGUUGUAAACUGCUUUUAUGCGGGGAUAAAGUGAGGGACGUGUCCCUUAUUGUAGGUACCGCAUGAAUAAGGACCGGCUAAUUCCGUGCCAGCAGCCGC